UCUCAGAACAGGGUCUCCAUAUAUAUUUACCCUGUCGCGGGGUAUCACCAUUGGAAACCACGGUUUAUUUCUCCUGUUGCCUACGGGCCAAAGAGGGGGACCUUCGGGCCUCUCGCGUCAGGAUAUGCCUAGGUGGGAUUAACUAGUUGGUGAGGUAAGGGCUCACCAAGGCGACGAUCCCUAGCUGGUCUGAGAGGAUGAUCAGCCACACUGGAACUGAGACACGGUCCAGACUCCUACGGGAGGCAGCAGUGGGGAAUAUUGCACAAUGGGCGCAAGCCUGAUGCAGCCAUGCCGCGUGUGUGAAGAAGGCCUUCGGGUUGUAAAGCACUUUCAGUCGUGAGGAAGGUGGUGUAGUUAAUAGCUGCAUUACUUGACGUUAGCGACAGAAGAAGCACCGGCUAACUCCGUGCCAGCAGCCGCGGUAAUACGGAGGGUGCGAGCGUUAUCGGAAUUACUGGCGUAAGCGCAUGCAGGUGUUUGUUAGUCAGAUGUAAAGCCCGGGCUCAACCUCGGAAUAGCAUUGAAACUGGCAGACUAGAGUACGUAGAGGGGGUAGAUUUCAGGUGUAGCGGUGAAAUGCGUAGAGAUCUGAAGGAAUACCGGUGGCGAAGGCGGCCCCCUGGACAGAUACUGACACUCAGAUGCGAAAGCGUGGGGAGCAAACAGGAUUAGAUACCCUGGUAGUCCACGCCGUAAACGAUGUCUACUUGGAGGUUGUGGCCUUGAGCCGUGGCUUUCGGAGCUAACGCGUUAAGUAGACCGCCUGGGGAGUACGGUCGCAAGAUUAAAACUCAAAUGAAUUGACGGGGGCCCGCACAAGCGGUGGAGCAUGUGGUUUAAUUCGAUGCAACGCGAAGAACCUUACCUACUCUUGACAUCCAGAGAACUUUCCAGAGAUGGAUUGGUGCCUUCGGGAACUCUGAGACAGGUGCUGCAUGGCUGUCGUCAGCUCGUGUUGUGAAAUGUUGGGUUAAGUCCCGCAACGAGCGCAACCCUUAUCCUUGUUUGCCAGCGAGUAAUGUCGGGAACUCCAGGGAGACUGCCGGUGAUAAACCGGAGGAAGGUGGGGACGACGUCAAGUCAUCAUGGCCCUUACGAGUAGGGCUACACACGUGCUACAAUGGCGCAUACAGAGGGCGGCCAACUUGCGAAAGUGAGCGAAUCCCAAAAAGUGCGUCGUAGUCCGGAUUGGAGUCUGCAACUCGACUCCAUGAAGUCGGAAUCGAUAGUAAUCGUGGAUCAGAAUGCCACG
rnacentral:rRNA from 1 species